rnacentral:rRNA from 1 species
GACGAACGCUGGCGGCGUGCUUAACACAUGCAAGUCGAACGGUAAGGCCCUUCGGGGUACACGAGUGGCGAGCGGGUGAGUAACACGUGGGUGAUCUGCCCUGCACUUCGGGAUAAGCCUGGGAAACUGGGUCUAAUACCGGAUAGGACCACUGCCUGCAUGGGUGGUGGUGGAAGGCUUUUGCGGUGUGGGAUGGGCCCGCGGGCUAUCAGCUUGUUGGUGGGGUGAUGGCCUACCAAGGCGACGACGGGUAGCCGGCCUGAGAGGGUGACCGGCCACACUGGGACUGAGAUACGGCCCAGACUCCUACGGGAGGCAGCAGUGGGGAAUAUUGCACAAUGGGCGCAAGCCUGAUGCAGCGACGCCGCGUGAGGGAUGACGGCCUUCGGGUUGUAAACCUCUUUCAGCACCGACGAAGCGCAAGUGACGGUAGGUGCAGAAGAAGGACCGGCCAACUACGUGCCAGCAGCCGCAGUAA